AGCAAACGCUGGCGGCAGGCCUAACACAUGCAAGUCGAACGAACCCUUCGGGGUUAGUGGCGGACGGGUGAGUAACACGUGGGAACGUGCCUUUAGGUUCGGAAUAACUCAGGGAAACUUGUGCUAAUACCGAAUGUGCCCUUCGGGGGAAAGAUUUAUCGCCUUUAGAGCGGCCCGCGUCUGAUUAGCUAGGUGGUGAGGUAAAGGCUCACCAAGGCUACGAUCAGUAGCUGGUCUGAGAGGAUGACCAGCCACAUUGGGACUGAGACACGGCCCAAACUCCUACGGGAGGCAGCAGUGGGGAAUCUUGCGCAAUGGGCGAAAGCCUGACGCAGCCAUGCCGCGUGGAUGAUGAAGGUCUUAGGAUUGUACAAUCCUUUCACCGGUGAAGAUAAUGACUGUAGCCGGAGAAGGAGCCCCGGCUAACUUCGUGCCAGCCGCCGCAGUAAUAC
rnacentral:rRNA from 1 species